UCAACAAAAAUGUUUACGGACGUCGUCCAC
rnacentral:sRNA from 1 species